GAAGAGGCGCAAGCCUCGGAGCUGACCGGUACUAAUAGGCCGAGGAUUUAAC
rnacentral:rRNA from 1 species